rnacentral:rRNA from 1 species
GACAUACUAGAACUUUCCAGAGAUGGAUUGGUGCCUUCGGGAACUUAGAUACAGGUGCUGCAUGGCUGUCGUCAGCUCGUGUCGUGAGAUGUUGGGUUAAGUCCCGNAACGAGCGCAACCCUUUUCCUUAUUUGCCAGCGGGUCAUGCCGGGAACUUUAAGGAUACUGCCAGUGACAAACUGGAGGAAGGCGGGGACGACGUCAAGUCAUCAUGGCCCUUACGGCCAGGGCUACACACGUGCUACAAUGGUCGGUACAAAGGGUUGCUACCUCGCGAGAGGAUGCUAAUCUCAAAAAGCCGAUCGUAGUCCGGAUCGCAGUCUGCAACUCGACUGCGUGAAGUCGGAAUCGCUAGUAAUCGCGGAUCAGAAUGCCGCGGUGAAUACGUUCCCGGGCCUUGUACACACCGCCCGUCACACCAUGGGAGUUUGUUGCACCAGAAGUAGGUAGUCUAACCGCAAGGAGGACGCUUACCACGGUGUGGCCGAUGACUGGGGUGAAGUCGUAACAAGGUAAGCGUAGAUGA